rnacentral:tRNA from 1 species
GCCUCCGUAGCUGAGAUGGCUUUAGCACCUGGCUCUUACCCAGGGGACGCGGGUUCGAAUCCUGCCGGGGGUAC